CUAAAUAUUCUCUAAUUUUCUUUUCCUCAGACCCUAUCUUCUCGCACUGUGCUCCAAUUCGUAAAACCCUAUUCUCGCUCGCUCUGUGUUUCAUUUUCUCACUCUCCCUUAAUUUUCUCGCUCCCUAAAACUUCACCGAAUCAUUUUCCCCUAAAUCUCUUCUUGCUCCAUCUGUGUUGUUCUUCCCUUGCUUGGGCUAAGCAUUGUGUUCGUCGUGGAGGCGUCAUGGUGCUCUGUUGCAGUUCAAUAUCCCUAACCCUAGAUUCUCUACUCUCUCGAUGAACUCACCAAGGUUUAAGUCGAACAAUUUCGUGGAAGGAGUGACACACAAGAUCAGUCGCCAGAUUGAGGAGCUCCAAAGAGUUUCUGGUGUGGACAGUGGCGGCCUCACCGUUGACGGUGUCCCCGUGGAUUCCUAGUUGACUAGUGCUUCGCCGUCAGUCCGUUCCACCGUGAAAGGUUGUCUUCUUCUCGCCGUGCGUGCAUCUCCGUAUCACUCCUACUGGCUUUCACACCCUGUCGCCAUUACUCUUUCUCGCUACCAGUCCAUCUCGGCGUCACUCUCUCUGGCCUUGGCAUUGUCGGUGAUGGUUAAAGCAUCUGGUAAGUAAUACCCUCUCUCAUCGUUCAUUCAUAAAGCCCUAAUUUAAUAUAUUUACUUUAUUUUUUACUGUCAUUGGCAUGUAACGGUGUGGUUCGAGAGAUGUUAUUCGUUUGUUAGCUAUUGAGGUGCAUUUUGAGAACAUUGGAAUUGAUAUUAAGGCUGGUCAUUUCUGUCUUGUCAAGCCAUACAUGGUUGCAGUUUAGAGUAACAAUGUGUCUGCUGUUAAUGAAGCCUUGAAUGAAAUAUAUGUCAAGGAGGAAGGCUAUGAUAGAUUGUGCCAUACAUGGUUUUGAUUGCCAAUAAGUAGUGGAAUUGUUGGACGACACUUAAUGUGAAAAGGUGGCUCUUCUUGGCAGUUGUAGUGCAGCCAAUUAUUGCAACCAGAAUUUUCCUUCAAAACUGUAACAGAUUUAGACAAUAAAUGCCCUGAGGAAGGCAAUUUCUGUUGCCUUUUACACAGACAUGGGGAUUAAACCUUCUGAGGUUUUUUGUUUCAGAUGGUGCACAGUGUGAUAUUACUCGUCUUCAGUUACUUAUGGGUCCCAAUCUGAAGAUUGUCGUGCAGGAUCCAUCCUUUUCGACAGGCCUACAUAGAUUCGAGUGUCAUAAUUGGUCAGGCUGGCAAGUUUGUAGAUGAUGCUGGGAAGUAUAAAAACAUAGAAUACAUGACACGUGGACCUCAAACUAAUUUCUUUACUGAUCUGCUAAGCAUUUCAAGGACAUAACUUAUUUUCUUCAAUUCUACAAACAAUCCCAUUGAGCAUGCAGCAACAAGGAAGCAAUCUUGUUUCAUGGAGCCAGAGAGGUAUGCCACUGGUUCCUUUCUGUUUCAUGUUUCUUUCACUAACAUCUUCUACACCCUAUGUUUUUUUAUUUUUAGCUUUGACAAUAAUCAUUUGUGGCUUCUAAUGAAGGGAAACUAAGCUAGUACACAUUUCUUUUCCCAGUAACAUGCAACAUUAUUUUUGCAUAACACUUUUUGCUUUGUUUCUAGCUUGUACUAUUUUCUGUAAUUGAAGCUUGUUCAGGUCGCAAUUGAAGUGUCAUCGUUCUCGAAAUUUGCUGGCUUCACAGGUGUCCACCUUGGUUAGACAUAUGUAGUUAUUUACUUGUAGGGAUAUAGAUUUAUGAAUCAUGUAUUGAUGUUCUGUAAUGUUUUUCUGGGUUGGUAUUAGAAAUGACAUAUAGUUAUUUACUUGUAGAGAUAUAGAUUUAUGCAUCAUGUAUUGAUGUUCUGUAAGGAUUUCCUAUAACAUAGCUAUAUACUUGUAGGGACAUAUAUAAUGCAUAUAUAAUGUUCAAAUAAAAAAUUAUCUAAAAAUAAAGUCAUUCAUCAUUGAUAAUUGAGACGCAUAGUUUUAAAUCUAUCGGUAGAAAUAGAAAUAAGUAACCAGAAUUAAUUAAUAUAAAAGAAUAAAAAUAAAAAGACACUUGAGAGUAACAUAUAAAACUAAGGCUUGAGAAUUCUAAGUACCCUAAAUUAAAGACUAACAUAUAAAACUAACAUUUCGAAAGUACUAGAUUCAUUGGUAAGACACUGUGUACAUAUAGAGAGAUUUUAAAUGCUCUGAAACCCAAAGUAACUAAAAAAGAUGCAGGAUACCCUUAAUUAGUUUUUUUCUUUUACAUAUUUUCCUGUUGAUGUUAUUUAGAUUCAUUUCAAAUUCCUCGGUACAAGAUGAAGA